rnacentral:rRNA from 1 species
AGAGUUUGAUUCUGGCUCAGAACGAACGCUGGCGGCGUGGAUAAGACAUGCAAGUCGAACGGGGUAUCGAUGUAGCAAUACAUUGGUGCCUAGUGGCGCAAGGGUGCGUAACACGUGAGCAAUCUGCCGAAAAGUGAAGGAUAGCUCGCCGAAAGGCGAAUUAAUACUGCAUAAUGCCAAUGUGGGAUUCCACUGACGCAAAAGCCGGGGCAACCUGGCGCUUUUUGAUGAGCUCGCGGCCUAUCAGCUAGUUGGCGGGGUAACGGCCCACCAAGGCUAUGACGGGUAGCUGGUCUGAGAGGACGACCAGCCACACUGGAACUGAUACACGGUCCAGACACCUACGGGUGGCAGCAGUCGAGAAUUUUUCUCAAUGGGGGAAACCCUGAAGGAGCGACGCCGCGUGGAGGAUGAAGGUCUUCGGAUUGUAAACUCCUGUCAUUGGUGAUCAAAGCUUCCGGUUAACUGCCGGGUAGUUUGCUAGUAGCCAAAGAGGAAGAGACGGCUAACUCUGUGCCAGCAGCCGCGGUAAUACAGAGGUCUCAAGCGUUGUUCGGAAUUAUUGGGCGUAAAGGGUGCGUAGGCGGUACGGUAAGUUAGAUGUGAAAUGUUAGCGCUUAACGCUAAACCUGCAUUUAAGACUGCCGUGCUAGAGCGCUAGAGAGGGGACUGGAAUUUACGGUGUAGCAGUGAAAUGCGUAGAUAUCGUAAGGAAGACCAGUGGCGAAAGCGAGUCCCUGGCUAGAUGCUGACGCUGAGGCACGAAAGCUGGGGGAGCAAACGGGAUUAGAUACCCCGGUAGUCCCAGCAGUAAACGGUGCGCGUUUGGUGUAAGCAGGUUCGACCCUGUUUGCGCCGGAGCUAACGCGUUAAACGCGCCGCCUGGGAAGUACGAUCGCAAGAUUAAAACUCAAAGAAAUUGACGGGGGCCCGCACAAGCGGUGGAGUAUGUGGCUUAAUUCGAUGCAACGCGAAGAACCUUACCUAGGCUUGACAUGCAUCUCUAAGGCGGUGAAAGCCGUCGAGGGUAGCAAUACCCAAUUUGCACAGGUGCUGCAUGGCUGUCGUCAGCUCGU